GUGUUGGAUGAGUUUAAGCGGAAG
rnacentral:piRNA from 1 species